GCAUCCUGGGAAGACUUUGCCGGCCUGAGGACUUUUAAAACUGGUCUGCAUCAUAACUUGAAGUAAUUGUUCUUGUGAUUGAAGCUAACAACUAUAUAAUGCCUGCUAGGCAUAAUGCCAAGACAUGAUUUGAUUUCAGAAAUAGACCCUGAGGCAAGGAGUCAAGUGGAAGUGAAAUUUUGGGGAGAUGAUCCCAGGAAACACUGAUAGUGGAGUGAGGAAGUAAGACAGGGAAGGAAAGAGGCCAAUAAGGGUGUGUUCUUAGGCCAGUCAUCACUUUAGGCAACUGGAGCUUAUUCUGCCCAGGAAGCUGGGAUAUUUAUCCACCAAAUACCCUCUGUCCUUGGUUGGUUCUAGGGGCACCAACAUCCCAAUGCAUUGAUUUGCUCCACAGGAGUGCUGACCCAUCUGUUGAAGCCAGAAAAUCAAAGAACUCCAGAAUUAUGAGCAGUUCUCUAAAUCUGGCUAGGACAGAAAAGAGGAUGGUUGAAAAUUAUGCUAUUUGGGUCAGUACCAACACCUGAGAAAAGAUCCCUGAUCAAUGGAUUAGAUCUACUUUCACCAGUCUCCAAGUGGGGUUUGAUAUCUUAUCUACCUUUCUGAAAUGAAUACCCAUUACAGGGCCUUUGGUGUGCAAACACCUUCCUCUGGGAGAAUUCAUCUCCAACUCCUCUCCCACCCAUAUCCUAGGAAAUAAUCAACAACCACUUGUCCCAGAAAUUCUGGGAGCCUUUCUGCUCUUAGGUCACUUUAAAU